UAAGAAUUUAAAAGUCGAACAGACUUAUUUAUAAGAAUACUGCUUCUCAUAAUGUUCUUAAUUCAACAUCGAGGUCGCAAAAUAUAAUAUAGAUAUGAACUCCCCAUUAAAAUUACGCUGUUAUCCCUAAGGUAACUUAAUCUUCUUAUCCCUAUCGAGGAUCUUAAAUAACAUAAAUAAAUGAUACAAAAAACUAAAGUUUACAUUUAACUACCACCCCAGUAAAAAAUAAAAUUAAUAUUAUAAAAUAUUUUAAUAAAAUUAAAUAAUAUAUUAUAUAUAAAGUUCUAUAGGGUCUUAUCGUCCCAAUAAAUUAAUAAAGCAUUUUAACUUUAAAUUUAAAUUCUAAUUUUUUAAAAAAUAAAAUAUAUUUCUCAUACAUCCAUUCAUACAAGCUUCUAAUUAAGAAACUAAUUACUACGCUACCUUUGCACAGUCAAAAUACUGCAGCCAUUUAGUUCUUUAACCAUAGGGCAGAAGAUACUUUUUAUAUAAUCA
rnacentral:rRNA from 1 species